rnacentral:rRNA from 1 species
UACGGGGGGAGCAAGCGUUGUUCGGAUUUACUGGGCGUAAAGGGCGCGUAGGCGGCCAGCACAAGUCAGUUGUGAAAUCUCCGAGCUUAACUCGGAAAGGUCAACUGAUACUGUGCGGCUAGAGUGCGGAAGGGGCAACUGGAAUUCCUGGUGUAGCGGUGAAAUGCGCAGAUAUCAGGAAGAACACCAAUGGCGAAAGCAGCUCUCUGGGACGGUACUGACGCUGAGACGCGAAAGCGUGGGGAGCGAACAGG